rnacentral:rRNA from 1 species
AAAGGACUUUGAAAAGAGAGUUAAAAGGGCGUGAAACUGCACUUUGAAAAGCGGAUGAGUACGCAUGGGUUCAAGCUACCAUUCAAGCAUGCGCGAUUUGUUGAGGUGGAGUCCUGAUGAAGGACUUGCCGCAAUAUUUUGUGCAUGCUGCAUUUGGCAGCUUGGCGUUCUGCUUGACUUUGCUGGGGCGAUACUUGCAGUGAAGCAUGCUUACCAUUGGUUUGGUUUGCAUUUCGCUUGUGACCUUCUGAUAUUGAAAGAUGAAGGAAAUUUAACGUAAGAAUCUGUGCGUUGUUUCUUCGUGAAAUGACGACAGAUGUCGGCUAAGGCAAGGUUUGGCAAACUCACAUUCACACUCUCAUCAGUUGUUGAUUGCUUGACCGCAAUCGCAACGAGGGAUUGAAUGCUGAAAGCAGAUUCGUUUGUGGCAUCAUUCGAACCGUCUUGAAACACGGGCUAAGGAGUUCAACAGAUGCGCGAGUUUACUGGUUCGGCGAAACCAGAUGGCUAAGUUAACGCGACUUUGUGUAUUAUAGUGAGAACUCGGUCCUGCAAUCAUCGCAGGUCGAGGUCAUCACUUACGAUGGAUGGCAUGUUGGGUACCGAUUGCUAUUCGCAGUCGAGCGCAUGUGCUGAGACCCGAAAGAUGGUGAACUAUGCUUGAGUAGGAUGAAGCCGGAGGAAACUCUGGUGGAGGUCCGAAGCGUUUUUGACGUGCAAAUCAAUCGUCAGACUUGGGUAUAGGGGCGAAAGACUAAUCGAACCAUCUAGUAGCUGGUUCCCUUCGAAGUUUCCCCCAGGAAAGCUGGUGCCGUGUGUGGCAGUUUUAUCUGGUAAAGCGAAUGAUUAGAGGAAUUGGGGACAAAUAGUCCUUGACCUAUUCUCAAACUUUAAAUGGGUAAUAGGCCUCCGCACUGCUUGGCUUUUGCUGAGUGCGUGAGGUAGAAUGCAAUGGCGCCAAGUGGGCCAUUUUUGGUAAGCAGAACUGGCGAUGUGGGAUGAACCAAACGUUGAGCUAAGAUGCCUAAAGUGCUUCUCAUGAGAUACCAUGAAAGGUGUCAGUCGAUAUUGACAGCAGGACGGUGGCCGCAGAAGUAGGAAUCCGCUAAGGAGUGUGUAACAACUCACCUGCCGAAUCGACUGGUCCUGAAAAUGGAUGGCGCUUGAGACGCAUAUCUAUGCUCGACCGUCAGUGCCAAUCCAAGUUAGCGAUUAUUAAAAGGCCUGACGUGUAGAAGGGCGGUUGCCAUAGCAUGGAAGCCUGCACCGUAAGGUGGGGCAGAGCUGUGGCAUGUGCAGAUCUUGGUGGUAGUAGCAAGUAUUCAACUGAGAGCAUUGAAGACUGAAGUGGAGUAAGGUUCCAUGUGAACAUCAUUUGGACAUGGAUCAGCCGAUCCUAAGAGAACGAGUAAGCUCGUGAUAAAGUGCGUCGCUUCGAGCGAAGCAAUCGAAAGGGAAUCGGGUUAAUAUUCCCGAGCCAGGAUACGGAAUGUGUUUGAGGCUUCGAGCGUACCGGCUUGUCUGGUGCGUUCGAUUUCAAACAAAAGCGGCAACGCUGACAAACUCAGAGAUUAACUACGCGAAGUCCGGAGAAGAGUUUUCUCUUCUUUGUUAGGAAUGUCAUCCCUGGAAACAGAUUGUCUGGCGAUAGGGUACACAUUCCGUAAUGCAACGCGAUUCCUGCGAUGUACCGUGCGCUUCGCAUAGUGCUUGAAAAUCUGGGGGCGAGAUUGUUCAUGCCGUACCUGUUCGUACUGAUUUCCGCAUCAGGUCUCCAAGGUGAGCAGCCUCUAGUCGAUGGGACAAAGUAGACAAGGGAAGUCGGCAAAUUAGAUCCGUAACUUCGGAAAAAGGAUUGGCUCUAAAAGCUGAGUUGGUCGGGCUGUUGCGUGAAUCAGAACGUUGAGAUGGAGAUUUGUUUCCGAUUUCGCGCUCGCAAGGGAUGCGGGGUCGGGGACGGACUUCAUGUUUUACGUUCCGUGGAAGGUGAUUGCUAUGCCGCGCAUGUUGUUGUACAUUCGCGUGCGUUUGUGCGCGAUGUGUUGCGGAUCCGACCAGCGUUAAACGGCUGACUUAGAACUGGUAUGGACAAGAGGAAUCCAACUGUUUAAUUAAAACAAAGCAUUGCGAUAGCUGUAACCGGUGUUGACGCGAUGUGAUUUCUGCCCAGUGCUCUGAAUGUUAAAGUGAAGGAACUCAUGUAAGCGCGAGUAAACGGCGGACGUGACGUGCAUGAAUGGAUUAUUGAGAUUCCUUCUGUCCCUGUCUGCGACCUAGCGAAACCACAGCCAAGGGAACGGGCUUGGAGAAUAACAGCGGGGAAAGAAGACCCUGUUGAGCUUGACUCUAGUCAGUCUCUGUGAAGAAACAUGAUGGGUGUAGAAUAGGUGGGAGGCCGCGUCAGUGAAAUACCACUACCAUUAUCGUUUUUUUACUUACUCAAUUGAUCAGUGAGCGUGCAUUCGCUGUUUGCGAUAUAUGAUCAUUCCCUCAGCGGAAUGAGUGUCUGGUUUGAGAACACAGACUGAUUGGGAGUUUGACUGGGGCGGUACAUCUGUUAAAAUCUAACGCAGGUGUCCUAAGGCGAUCUCAGCGUGGACAGAAACCUCGCAUAGAGCGGAAGGGCAAAAGAUUGCUUGAUCUUGAUUUUCAGUACGAAUAAAGACAAUGAAAGUUUGGCUUGUCGAUCCUUUUGAAUUUUACGAGUUUUAAGCAAGAGGUGUCAGAAAAGUUACCACAGGGAUAACUGGCUUGUGGCGGCCAAGCGUCCACAGCGACGUCGCUUUUUGAUCCUUCGAUGUC